ACUCCUACGGGAGGCAGCUAGUGGGAAUAUUGCAACAAUGGGGGAAACCCUGAUGCAGCCAUGCCGCGUGUGUGAAGAAGGUCCUUCGGGUUGUAAAGCACUUUCAGUAGGGAGGAAGGUAGUGUAGUUAACACCUGCACUAUUUGACGUUACCUUACAGAAGAAGCACCGGCUAACUCCGUGCCAGCAGCCGCGGUAAUACGGAGGGUGCGAGCGUUAAUCGGAAUUACUGGGCGUAAAGCGCAUGCAGGCGGCCUUGUUAAGUCAGAUGUGAAAGCCCGGGGCUUAACCUCGGAAUUGCAUUUGAAACUGGCAGGCUAGAGUCUUGUAGAGGGGGGUAGAAUUUCAGGUGUAGCGGUGAAAUGCGUAGAGAUCUGAAGGAAUACCAGUGGCGAAGGCGGCCCCCUGGAC
rnacentral:rRNA from 1 species